CCCAGCCCGCAAAAAGUAUUUUACAACAGCCAUUAUAAUUCAAGAAUCAGAUAAGAAGUUACAAACUGUAGAAACUUUCACUGUACCUGAAGCUGCCAGUUAAAUCAGAUGCUCCUGGUCUCAGCAAAAUCUGAGUUAUAAAAUUGGCCCCACGGCUGCCAAAUAAAACAGAUUUUUUUUCUUUACAAAUCUCAGCCU